GGAGGAUGGGUCCUGGAAGGGAUAAAGAACCCAGCCCCAGCUGGUUUAACAGCUGCCCAUUAACAGAACACAUGCUCCCCCUCCGCCGGAGUUAGAAGAGAUAAAGAAAAAACACCUCCCCAGCCGGUUUCAACAGGUUUCUGGCUCCAGCUGCCUGAUUUGGCUCAGCUGCACCCAGCCAAGGGCCAGAUACUUGAGGCAAGAGGCGAUCUGCUGCUCUUAUGGACUCUCCUGCUUUGUCCAGAGCCUGCUUCCCUCCUCAGUAGGGCUGAGAAGAGUUUUUCUGCUGCUCUAAACUGUACUGAACUCUUCCUGGUUUUCAGAUGCUGAUAUUUUUUUUCAAAUGGAGUGGUGCAACCACGAUACAGAAAACCGUCUGGAUUUAAACUUUUUAACUUGAGCAAUGAAAGAAAGCUUUUUAUCCUCUGUGUGUAUGGAGAAUUUUAGGUUUUCUUGGACAUCAGCGAUGUCUACAUGGCUCUUAAAAUGAAAAUAUAUGAUUCCCACAGUAGAAUUCAGACACAAGAUGGCAGAAUCAGAAAGAGGAGAAUGAAUCACUGUCACAAAUACUGUUCCUCUGCUGCACCGACAAGGGAAGAUAAAAUGGAAUCAUUAUACCAGGGAACCACUUGCAGAUUUGAAUUUGGAUCUCCUGUACUGAGAAGAAACUUCUUUUUCCCUCAGUACUAAGUGGGGGGAGCGUGUUCUGUCAUUCUAUUCCAGCAUUUGGCAUUAUUGCAUGAGUUAGUGAGUAAAUAUAGAGAAGAGGGUAUUAAAUGCUACCUUACAGCAGCAUUUUUCUAAACUGCAGUCCUUCCUGCUUCCUGAAAGUUGGUGUUUUUCAGUGAAAAGAAAUCAUUUGUAGUUCUUUCAGCAGUGGAGCAUAAUGAGAGCCAUGCAGGAGGUCAAUUAUGUAGUUCAGUGUGUGAAGACCAUUCACAAAGCUGGAGAUGGAGGGAGGGAAAUAAUUUAGACUGAUGAGAGUUUAGGCAACUUGCCUGUUUUUGGGCAGUUGUAACACCUGUAAACAGGUUUGGGCUAUUGACCUUGCACCUUUGCAGGCAAAGGGAGGAGGUGACACAUCCUCUAAUCCUACAGCCCAGGGUGCAAAGGAGAGGAGCUAUCAGUGCAAGGAGCAGCUGUGAGGGAAGGUUUGGUUAUCACUGAGUACCUGAGUGACGGCAGGAUAUGAACCUGAACUGCACAUUUCCCUUAGACAGGAGCCACAGGAUAUUUUGGAAAGGCUUUUCAACCCCUUGAGGACUUGUCUUCCUGAGGGCCUUAAACACUUCUGGAAAACACAACUCAUACAUCAAACAUAGGAAGGGUACUGAAGUAACCCAUCCUCGACCCCAGAAACCCUGUUUUCAUUCCAUACUUUUGUCCUGAUUCCUACACUUUAUUAUGG